GAUAAUUAGCCAAUUUAGCCUUUCUUGGAUCAGUCUAAGCUACGUAGAAGAAGAGAUAGAGAAGAAGAAGUAAAAUAAGGAGGAGGAGGAGGAGGAGGAGGAGAAGAAGAAGGAAGAGGAGAAGAAGAAGAAAACAAGAAGGAGAAGGAGAAGAAGAAGGAGAAGGAGAAGGAGGAAGAAGGAGGAAGAAGAAGGNNNNNNNNNNCAAUUGGCUAAUUUAGCCUUUCUUGGAUCAGUCUAAGCUACGUAGAAGAAGAGAUAGAGAAGAAGAAGGA
rnacentral:lncRNA from 1 species